AAACGAAGUGGGAAGGCUUAGACAGCUAGGAUGUUGGCUUAGAAGCAGCCACCAUUUAAAGAAAGCGUAAUAGCUCACUGAUCGAGUCGUCUUGCGCGGAAGAUGUAACGGGGCUCAAGCCAGUUACCGAAGCUGCGGAUGCACAGCAAUGUGCGUGGUAGGAGAGCGUUCUGUAAGUCUGUGAAGGCAGCUUGAGAAGGCUGCUGGAGAUAUCAGAAGUGCGAAUGCUGACAUGAGUAGCGUUAAGGCGGGUGAAAAGCCCGCUCGCCGUAAGCGCAAGGUUUUCUAUGCAACGUUCAUCGGCGUAGAGUAAGUCGGCCCCUAAGGUAAGGCAGAGAUGCGUAGCUGAUGGGAAACAGGUUAAUAUUCCUGUACCGAUGUGCAGUGCGAUGUGGGGACGGAUCUUAAUAGGUUGUCCGGGUUUUGGAUAUCCCGGUUUAGGUGGAAGUAGGUGUGCAUCAGGCAAAUCCGGUGCAUAUGUGCCCAGGCCAUCGAUCGAGCAAGCUUGCUUGCGAAGCAACUGAACGAGGUUCCAGGAAAAGCCACUAAGCUUCAGCUGCACACGACCGUACCGCAAACCGACACUGGUGCGCGAGAUGAGUAUUCUAAGGCGCUUGAGAGAACUCAGGAGAAGGAACUCGGCAAAUUGACACCGUAACUUCGGGAGAAGGUGUGCCCUAGUAGUGUGAUGAGAACAUCUGAGCAUGAAUGGGUUGCAAAAAAUAGGUGGCUGCGACUGUUUAUUAAAAACACAGCACUCUGCAAACACGAAAGUGGACGUAUAGGGUGUGACGCCUGCCCGGUGCUGGAAGAUUAAGUGAUGGGGUGCAAGCUCUUGAUCGAAGUCCCAGUAAACGGCGGCCGUAACUAUAACGGUCCUAAGGUAGCGAAAUUCCUUGUCGGGUAAGUUCCGACCUGCACGAAUGGCGUAACGAUGGCCACACUGUCUCCUCCCGAGACUCAGCGAAGUUGAAAUGUUUGUGAUGAUGCAAUCUCCCCGCAGCUAGACGGAAAGACCCCAUGAACCUUUACUGUAGCUUUGCAUUGGAUUGCGAACCGACUUGUGUAGGAUAGGUGGGAGGCUUUGAAGUCAGGACGCCAGUCUUGAUGGAGCCAUCCUUGAAAUACCACCCUGGUUUGUUCGCGGUUCUAACCUUGGCCCGUGAUCCGGGCUGGAGACAGUGCAUGGUGGGCAGUUUGACUGGGGCGGUCUCCUCCUAAAGAGUAACGGAGGAGUUCGAAGGUACGCUUGGUACGGUCGGACAUCGUGCCUAAAGUGCAAUGGCAAAAGCGUGCUUGACUGCGAGACUGACAAGUCGAGCAGGUGCGAAAGCAGGACAUAGUGAUCCGGUGGUUCUGUAUGGAAGGGCCAUCGCUCAACGGAUAAAAGGUACUCUGGGGAUAACAGGCUGAUACCGCCCAAGAGUUCAUAUCGACGGCGGUGUUUGGCACCUCGAUGUCGGCUCAUCUCAUCCUGGGGCUGUAGCCGGUCCCAAGGGUAUGGCUGUUCGCCAUUUAAAGAGGUACGUGAGCUGGGUUUAAAACGUCGUGAGACAGUUUGGUCCCUAUCUGCUGUGGGCGUUGGAGAUUUGACGGGGGCUGCUCCUAGUACGAGAGGACCGGAGUGGACACACCUCUGGUGUACCUGUUGUCACGCCAGUGGCAUCGCAGGGUAGCUAAGUGUGGAAGAGAUAACCGCUGAAAGCAUCUAAGCGGGAAACU
rnacentral:rRNA from 1 species